CAAUGUUUUAAACGACGGAGGGCAAAUAAGAGAGAAUUUGGAUUUGAACCAACGUGAUUCUGAAGUGACUGUGAAUAACAACCACUGAUUCAAAUAUAUGUGGAACAUAUUAAUAUGUUAACUAUGCAGUUUAAGAAAGAAGAGGUUAAUCUGGGCUGGGAUUUUAAAAGAUGGCCUCAUAGAAGAGGUGAGAUUUGGAUGAAAAGUCAGAUAUGGACAGAAGCUGCUACAUGACUGCCUCAUCCCAGAGAAGCCUGAUUAUCAUCGGUGAAAAACAUUCCGCCAUAAACAUGAUUACAAAAUUCAUUAUAAGCAGUGAUUGAAUGUGAACAUAUCUAAAACAGUUUAGUUCAUAGUGAAUUGCAUA